UCAAUGAUGGCAGGACCUUUAUGCUCUAAAAGCAUAUUUGGAAAUUAAAGAAAGCAAUUCUCAGGAGGAGAAGUUUCCAUCCAGAUACUAUUUCAUUAGAAUUGUUUUUUUUUUUUUUAUGUGUGCUACCUCCAGCCAGUGUCUGAUGCCCCAUAAGGAUGUAAAAUUAUAAGGCAAUGUCUUCUUCAAAGGUGAAAAACAAGCUCCAGAUGUUUCCAAUAGCAGGACAGUUGCAUGGGGUGGAGGCUGCAUUCAGAUAUCUAAAGGAGGUGGCUGGACCUCAGCUAAGUGACACUGGGCUGGGAGAUGGGGGAUGAAGGGUACGUGCUGAGGUUGGAAGCAGAUUAAGAACUUUCAGCUCCCUGAAGGACAGCCACACUUUCUUAGAAACAUUUCCUUUAUUUUCAUCAUCUGAGGGCAACUUGCAACAGAGUUGCUGAGCUCUGAUUUUUCAUUUUAGUUGCAAGCUGGACCUUGAAGGAGGAGAAGGUGGGCUUUUCAGUAGCAUUUGCCUGUAGAUGCCUCUCGUUUGCUAGGGAUGAAGAUCUCACAUUGCCUGUGGUGACUGGUCCAGUAAAGUCCUGGGAGAACAGGGCUGCAAAGGGCUCUUUCUUGUAAAGAAUGCUUUGAGGUCAUUCCCAGUGGUAAUGAAUCGACUAAUACCCACGCAGAUUAGGGUUCAAUUCCUGGCGUCACUCAGUGGGUUACGGAUCUGUCAUUGCUGUGAGCUGUGGUAUAGGUCACAGAUGCACCUCGGAUCCUGCGUGGCUGUGGCUGUGGCAUAGGCCAGUGGCUACAGCUCCAACAGGACUCCUAGCUUGGGAACCUCCAUAUGCUGUGGGUACAGCCAGAAAAAAAAAAAAAAAAAAAAGGAAUGCUUUGAAAGUAAGUAAGGACACAAAAUCCACCCCUGGCCCUGAAUACUCAGGCUAAGAAAGUUUUCAAGGCUUCAUUUCGUUCUGAGAUACUUGGGGUGAAAACUUGUGAUACUUGGACUGACCCUGUUGCCAACUCGAAGUAUACACUAUCACAAACCACACUGAUCAACUAGUACAAAGCAGAGGUAAAGCCCACCUUUGUCUAAAUUGAAAACCACAAAAUCAUUGGCAGAUGUCCUCUCCCACCUAAUGGGGGUGUUCUUUAAUGGUAUCGAAGAUAAACGGCUAUGAGCCUCUUCUUCAACAUUCCUUGCGACGAGAAUCUCAACUACUAUUCAAGGUACCCCAGUGACCUAUUGUUGAAAGAUGUUCUUCUUUAUAUAGAGCUGAAAAAUGCCUCCUGGUAAUUUCCACCCACAGAUUCUAAUUCUGGAACAAC
ensembl:lncRNA